rnacentral:misc_RNA from 1 species
GGAAUAUUGCACAAUGGGGGAAACCCUGAUGCAGCGACGCCGCGUGAGUGAAGAAGUAUUUCGGUAUGUAAAGCUCUAUCAGCAGGGAAGAUAAUGACAGUACCUGACUAAGAAGCCCCGGCUAACUACGUGCCAGCAGCCGCGGUAAUACGUAGGGGGCAAGCGUUAUCCGGAAUUACUGGGCGUAAAGCGAGCGCAGACGGUUACUUAAGCAGGAUGUGAAAUCCCCGGGCUCAACCUGGGAACUGCGUUCUGAACUGGGUGACUAGAGUGUGUCAGAGGGAGGUAGAAUUCCACGUGUAGCAGUGAAAUGCGUAGAGAUGUGGAGGAAUACCGAUGGCGAAGGCAGCCUCCUGGGAUAGCACUGACGUUCAUGCUCGAAAGCGUGGGUAGCAAACAGGA